rnacentral:rRNA from 1 species
CCUACGGGAGGCAGCAGUGGGGAAUCUUGCGCAAUGGGCGAAAGCCUGACGCAGCCAUGCCGCGUGUAUGAUGAAGGUCUUAGGAUUGUAAAAUACUUUCACCGGGGACGAUAAUGACGGUACCCGGAGAAGAAGCCCCGGCUAACUUCGUGCCAGCAGCCGCGGUAAUACGAAGGGGGCUAGCGUUGCUCGGAAUUACUGGGCGUAAAGGGAGCGUAGGCGGACAGUUUAGUCAGAGGUGAAAGCCCAGGGCUCAACCUUGGAAUUGCCUUUGAUACUGACUGUCUUGAGUGUGGGAGAGGUGAGUGGAACUCCGAGUGUAGAGGUGAAAUUCGUAGAUAUUCGGAAGAACACCAGUGGCGAAGGCGACUCACUGGCCCAUUACUGACGCUGAGGCUCGAAAGCGUGGGGAGCAAACAGGAUUAGAUACCCUGGUAGUCCACGCCGUAAACGAUGAGUGCUAGUUGUCGGCAUGCAUGCAUGUCGGUGACGCAGCUACGCAUAAGACACUCCGCCGUCGGGGAGGUACGGUCGCGAAGAAUUAAAACGUUAAAACGGUAAAGUUAGACGGCGUGAGACGUCGCCGACGGACGACGACGAGGGAGGUUAGG